rnacentral:rRNA from 1 species
UGGGGAAUUUUGGACAAUGGGGGAAACCCUGAUCCAGCCAUCCCGCGUGUGCGAUGAAGGCCUUCGGGUUGUAAAGUACUUUUGGCAGGAAAGAAACGUCGCGGGUUAAUACCCCGCGAAACUGACGGUACCUGCAGAAUAAGCACCGGCUAACUACGUGCCAGCAGCCGCGGUAAUACGUAGGGUGCAAGCGUUAAUCGGAAUUACUGGGCGUAAAGCGUGCGCAGGCGGUUCGGAAAGAAAGAUGUGAAAUCCCAGAGCUUAACUUUGGAACUGCAUUUUUAACUACCGGGCUAGAGUGUGUCAGAGGGAGGUGGAAUUCCGCGUGUAGCAGUGAAAUGCGUAGAUAUGCGGAGGAACACCGAUGGCGAAGGCAGCCUCCUGGGAUAACACUGACGCUCAUGCACGAAAGCGUGGGGAGCAAACAGGAUUAGAUACCCUGGUAGUCCACGCCCUAAACGAUGUCAACUAGCUGUUGGGGCCUUCGGGCCUUGGUAGCGCAGCUAACGCGUGAAGUUGACCGCCUGGGGAGUACGGUCGCAAGAUUAAAACUCAAAGGAAUUGG